rnacentral:lncRNA from 1 species
UCCAAUCCGGAAGUCGCAGGGAAGUGGGGAGGUCAGGAUGGUGGCGCCCGCGGCUCGGGUCUUCCUCCGGGCAGUGCGCGCGGCUCUCACUUCCACGGUCCCGGACCUGCUCUGCCUCCUGGCCCGAGGCUCCCCGCGUGGCCUCGCGUCUGGUCGCCUACCCCUCGCGGUCCACUCCGCCCAGCAUGGACCUGGAUCCGGGGCGCCUUGGUUGCGAAUUGCCAGGAGGGCCCUGAGAUUUGUGUUGUCAAAACACUGGGGGGAUGAUUGUUACCUGACAAACCGCCUCUGGCAGGACCUGAAGCCUCCCAGUCACGUCGAGAACGGGCAGGAGCUCAGGUUGGCGCCGCCGGUGCAGUGGGCAUUACAGGUGCAAGGGAACCAGUUGCAAACUGCAGUGCUGUGCUUGAGGAUGGCUCCUCCUGAGCCGGCAGGCUCCCGGUAGGCGCGGUCCAGCCAAAGAAUUUAGAACGAGUCUACGUGGACACGCAAGUUUCAGCGAGCGGGGA